GCACGGGUGAGUAACGCGUAUGCAACCUGCCCGAUACCGGGGUAUAGCCCAUGGAAACGUGGAUUAACACCCCAUAGUACUUUUAUCCUGCAUGGGAUGUGAGUUAAAUGUUUAAGGUAUCGGAUGGGCAUGCGUCCUAUUAGUUAGUUGGCGGGGUAACAGCCCACCAAGACGAUGAUAGGUAGGGGUUCUGAGAGGAAGGUCCCCCACAUUGGAACUGAGACACGGUCCAAACUCCUACGGGAGGCAGCAGUGAGGAAUAUUGGUCAAUGGACGAGAGUCUGAACCAGCCAAGUCGCGUGAGGGAAGACUGCCCUAUGGGUUGUAAACCUCUUUUAUAAGGGAAGAAUAAGUUCUACGUGUAGAAUGAUGCCUGUACCUUAUGAAUAAGCAUCGGCUAACUCCGUGCCAGCAGCCGCGGUAAUACGGAGGAUGCGAGCGUUAUCCGGAUUUAUUGGGUUUAAAGGGUGCGUAGGCGGUUUAUUAAGUUAGUGGUUAAAUAUUUGAGCUAAACUCAAUUGUGCCAUUAAUACUGGUAAACUGGAGUACAGACGAGGUAGGCGGAAUAAGUUAAGUAGCGGUGAAAUGCAUAGAUAUAACUUAGAACUCCGAUAGCGAAG
rnacentral:rRNA from 1 species